UACGGAGGGUGCGAGCGUUGUCCGGAAUCAUUGGGCGUAAAGGGCGCGUAGGUGGCCUGGUCAGUCCGUGGUGAAAGCGCGGGGCUCAACCCUGCGUCGGCCAUGGAUACUGCUAUGGCUUGAGCACUGUAGAGGCAGGCGGAAUUCCGGGUGUAGCGGUGGAAUGCGUAGAGAUCCGGAAGAACACCGGUGGCGAAGGCGGCCUGCUGGGCAGUGGCUGGACACUGAGGCGCG
rnacentral:rRNA from 1 species